rnacentral:rRNA from 1 species
AGUGAACGCUGGCGGCGUGCCUAAUACAUGCAAGUCGAACGGAGUGGCGCACGGGUGAGUAAUGUAUAGCUAAUCUGCCCUACACUAGAGGCCAACAGUUGGAAACGACUGCUAAUACUCUAUAGUGUAGGAUGAGGCUAUAUUGUAUCAGCUAGUUGGUGAGGUAAUGGCUCACCAAGGCUAUGACGCAUAACUGGUCUGAGAGGAUGAUCAGACACACUGUAAGUGAGUCACGGUGCAGGCUCCUACGGGAGGCAGCAGUAGGGAGUAGUGCUCAAUGGGGGAAACCCUGAAGCAGCAACGCGUCGUGGAGGAUGACAGUUUUCGGAGAGUAAACUCCUUUUGUUAGGGAAGCGGUACCUAACGAAUAAGCACCGGCUAACUCCGUGCCAGCAGCCGCGGUAAUAC